rnacentral:rRNA from 1 species
UACGUAGGGCGCGAGCGUUGUCCGGAUUUAUUGGGCGUAAAGGGCUCGUAGGCGGUUUGUCGCGUCGGGAGUGAAAUCCACUGGCUUAACUGGUGGCUUGCUUUCGAUACGGGCAGACUGGAGGUAUGCAGGGGAGAACGGAAUCCCUGGUGUAGCGGUGAAAUGCGCAGAUAUCAGGAGGAACACCGGUGGCGAAGGCGGUUCUCUGGGCAUGUCCUGACGCUGAGGAGCGAAAGUGUGGGGAGCGAACAGG